CCCCUAGAUGUUCUGGGCCGCACGCGCGCUACACUGAACAGUUCAACAAGUCUUAACCUUGGCCGAUAGGUCUGGGUAAUCUUUGAACGCUGUUCGUGAUUGGGAUAGACCUUUGCAAUUAUGGGUCUUCAACGAGGAAUUCCUAGUAAACGCAAGUCAUCAGCUUGCAUUGAUUACGUCCCUGUCCUUUGUACACACCGCCCGUCGCACCUACCGAUUGAAUGGUCCGGUGAAAUCUCGGGACGGCGGCUUGGUCGCUUGCGUCCGACUGCUGAAACUUGAUUAAACCAUAUCAUUUAGAGGAAGGUGAANUCGUANCA
rnacentral:rRNA from 1 species